GAUGAACGCUGGCGGUGUGCCUAAUACAUGCAAGUCGAGCGAACGGACGAGAAGCUUGCUUUUCUGAUGUUAGCGGCGGACGGGUGAGUAACACGUGGAUAACCUACCUAUAAGACUGGGAUAACUUCGGGAAACCGGAGCUAAUACCGGAUAAUAUUUUGAACCGCAUGGUUCAAAAGUGAAAGACGGUCUUGCUGUCACUUAUAGAUGGAUCCGCGCUGCAUUAGCUAGUUGGUAAGGUAACGGCUUACCAAGGCAACGAUGCAUAGCCGACCUGAGAGGGUGAUCGGCCACACUGGAACUGAGACACGGUCCAGACCCCUACGGGAGGCAGCAGUAGGGAAUCUUCCGCAAUGGGCGAAAGCCUGACGGAGCAACGCCGCGUGAGUGAUGAAGGUCUUCGGAUCGUAAAACUCUGUUAUUAGGGAAGAACAUAUGUGUAAGUAACUGUGCACAUCUUGACGGUACCUAAUCAGAAAGCCACGGCUAACUACGUG
rnacentral:rRNA from 1 species